UUAGGAAUUUUCCGCAAUGGGCGCAAGCCUGACGGAGCAAUACCGCGUGUGGGAUGAAGGCCUUCGGGUUGUAAACCACUGUUGUUAAGAAAGAACUCUGACGGUACUUAACAAGGAAGUCCCGGCUAACUACGUGCCAGCAGCCGCGGUAAUACGUAGGGGACGAGCGUUAUCCGGAUUUACUGGGCGUAAAGCGCGUUAAGGCGGAUUUGCAAGUUGGUGGUGAAAGUUCAGGGCUUAACUCUGAAAGUGCUGCCAAUACUGCGGAUCUGGAGUGUGAGAGAGGAAAGUGGAAUUCCCGGUGUAGUAGUGAAAUGCGUAGAUAUCGGGAGGAACACCAGUGGCGAAGGCGGCUUUCUGGCUCACAACUGACGCUGUAGCGCGAAAGCGUGGGGAGCGAACGGAAUUAGAUACCCCCGUAGUCC
rnacentral:rRNA from 1 species